AGUUUAAAAGGAUCAGCACUUGGGUGUAACUGCGAGUGAAGACCGCGAGUGAAGAGAGCUACAAGGAGAGUGAGGAGGGGAAAAAGAAAUCAUGACCGUAAAACUGCAUAUCGAGUACUGUGGCGGAUGAGGGUACGAGCCCCGUUACCAUGCUCUGGCCAAGAAGAUCAAAGAGCAUGUGCCAGAUGCAGAAAUCUCUGGUGACAAAGGAAGGAAAACUUCCUUCGAGAUUACACUGAACAACCAGCUCAUAUUCUCUAAACUGAAAAUGGGUGGAUUUCCGUUUGACGAAGAUGUCAUACAGGAAGUCAAGAAAGCAAGUCAUGGAGAACCUGUUUCUUUGAUCCUGAAGAAGAAGAGUGGCUGUAUCAUCAUAUAACCCAAUAAUCCAAGAUUCAGAAAGGAUUUCUUAAUUUUAAACUGGGAGGCAGUUCUUAGAAUGACUGCCUUUACCUAAACCUGCGGUGAAAGCAUGAAAAACUAAAGAACUUUUUCUCAAAUUUGAAAUUGAGGAGUCCAUUUCUGAAAACUGCUUGUAACCUUGAAACAAAAGAAUGAUUAAAGAUUGAAAGAAAACCCAAAACAAUGUGCUAAAAAUACAAAUAAACAAAACUUAGUGAUA